UUUCUAGCACAGAGCCUGGAAAACAACAAGCAUUUGGAGAUGUGUUUGAGUUCCUGAAAUGAUUGGUCAUCCACUAGAUCAAACUUUAGCAGGUCACUCGCUAACAAGAAGUAGACGAAAGAAUCAGUGGUUUUCCAUCAAAACACAAAGAAGGAACAUUAUUAUAAGGUAAAAUUUCUAUAUAUAAUGACCGUAUAGUCAUGUCACUUUUGAAGGAAACGUUGUAAGUGCAUUGCAAUAUCUACCAAACAUUUUCUUGUUCUAUCUAUGGCAAUUCUUAGCACUAACGCUAAUGAGGACUUGGCUUUGGAUAUAGCAGCUAGCAAUUUUUUAGAAAACCAAAUUUGGUGAGGAGGGUAAAUUAUAUAGGAAAUAGAUUUUGGAUGAAAAUUUUAAAUUGUCAUAUAAUGAACAGUAGCAAUGACAUACCUACAUUUAACAGGCAGUCUAAUUCUAUCAGUAAAAGCUGGUUAUAGGUUUGGGGAACAGGUGAUUUCUAUUUGACUUCAAAUUUUAAAUGUAUUCAUUCAGCAAAUGAUUUUUAAGCAUCAGCAUUGAUCGUACUUCUGCAUUAUCCAUGGCAAUGUGGGAGAGGUAUACAAAUACACUCAGUGAGUGCAGGUCAUUUGACUCUCUGGAUAAAAAAUUAAAGCUCAUUUUACUUUUUAUAAAUGUAAAUGAACAGAAAAAAAGGCUGAAGCCUGAGCUAGAAAUAAAACCAUAGUGCUUUAGGUCCAUAUCAUGGGUCUCGCUGAAAUAGCACAUUUCAUUUUUAUUCUAAAGAAAGAUACAGUUAAUAAUCUGAUAUCCUUUAGAAAAUCAAUUCCCUAUACUUCAUAUCAGUGAUGAAAAAUAUUUACGAUGUAAAGGUAUAUGUUAAUUUUAUACCAGUCCUAAUAAAAGCUAAGAAAAAGAUGCAGUAUCAGCCUUCUGGAUGUCCUUGGUCAGGUAGAAUUUAAGGUCUUGAGUCAUGGACGACUCAUCCUUUUUCCUUGCAUUUAAUUAUUUACUAAGUCCUGUCAGAGAGUGUCUUGUUUGUCCUUUCCUUUACCUCUCCUAUGCCAGGACCAGAGAUCAGACCCUAUCAUCCCUCAUCUGAUUUAUUACAGAGCCUCCUGACAGAUCUUUCUCAUGGCUUUUGCCUUUCUGGUAUAUUCUUUACAUGGUGUCAGAAUUUUGUACUUAAGAAAGGAAAAAGAAAGAAAAAAGUUAUAUUCCCACCUCCCCCCGUCCCC